AUUGAACGCUGGCGGCAGGCCUAACACAUGCAAGUCGAGCGGUAGAGAGGUGCUUGCACCUCUUGAGAGCGGCGGACGGGUGAGUAAUAUAUCGGAACGUACCCAAGAGUGGGGGAUAACGUAGCGAAAGUUACGCUAAUACCGCAUACGAUCCAAGGAUGAAAGCAGGGGACCGCAAGGCCUUGUGCUCCUGGAGCGGC
rnacentral:rRNA from 1 species